rnacentral:rRNA from 1 species
UACGUAGGGGGCAAGCGUUGUCCGGAAUUAUUGGGCGUAAAGAGCGUGUAGGCGGCCAGAUUAAGUCCGCUGUGAAAUCUCGAGGCUCAACUUCGAGCUGUCGGUGGAAACUAUCUGGCUAGAGUCCGGAAGAGGAGAAUGGAAUUCCUGGUGUAGCGGUGAAAUGCGCAGAUAUCAGGAAGAACACCCGUGGCGAAGGCGGUCUCUGGGACGGUACUGACGCUGAGACGCGAAAGCGUGGGGAGCGAACAGG